rnacentral:rRNA from 1 species
CCAGACUCCUACGGGAGGCAGCAGUGGGGAAUUUUGGACAAUGGGCGCAAGCCUGAUCCAGCUAUUCCGCGUGUGGGAAGACGGCCUUCGGGUUGUAAACCACUUUUGUAGAGAACGAAAAGUCUGUUGAUAAUACCGAUAGAUGAUGACGGUACUCUAAGAAUAAGCACCGGCUAACUACGUGCCAGCAGCCGCGGUAAUACGUAGGGAGCGAGCGUUGUCCGGAAUUACUGGGUGUAAAGGGAGUGUAGGCGGGAUGGUAAGUUAGGUGUGAAAUGCGGAGGCUCAACCUCCGAGCUGCACUUAAAACUGCUGUUCUUGAGUGAAGUAGAGGUUGGCGGAAUUCCCAGUGUAGCGGUGAAAUGCGUAGAUAUUGGGAGGAACAUCAGUGGCGAAGGCGGCCAACUGGGCUUUUACUGACGCUGAGGCUCGAAAGCGUGGGGAGCAAACAGGAUUAGAUACCCCAGUAC